AACGCACCUUGCGCCCCUUGGUAUUCCGAGGGGCACACCCGUUUGAGCGUCGUGAAAUUCUCAACCUCCUCGGUUUCUUCUGGAGACUGAAGGAGGCUUGGACUUUGGAGGCCUUUGCUGGCGUGUCUCGCCAGCUCCUCUUAAAUGAAUUAGCGUGGUCCUAUUUGCCGAACCUCGACACGUGAUAAGAUGCUUCCGUGUCUCGGUUUCUGGCUCUGUUGCUUUUGGGACCCGCUUCUAACCGUCUGGACCUUGCGUCGAGACAAUGUUCGAGCUCGUAUCCCUUCUUGGGAAACCCCCUCGACCCCACGAACCCUUGGCCUCAAAUCGGGUGAGACUACCCGCUGAACUUAA
rnacentral:misc_RNA from 1 species